rnacentral:lncRNA from 1 species
CGAUGAGUCCUGAUAGGUCACGUGACCCACCAACUGAAAAGGUUUUUAUUUUUUAUUUUUUUUUCUAGAUUCGAAAAUGAUGUGUUCAAAGAAUCCUUACAAAUUUCAAUUGAAACCGUCCAGAUUCCAAUUGAAACACUCUUCCAUUGGCAUUAACAAACUGAAACCAAGAAAUCGUCCCUCUUUACACCAAGAAACUGUCCCACUUCCCAAACUGUAUCAAUUCUUGAUUCUGUGUAUCAAAAUUUACUUUUUGCCAACUGGGUUUUUGCCAAGAAUUCCAGAAAGUGACUUGUGGAGUGGAAGACUCCAACUUUUGACUCUCUGAUCUCUGUUUUGGGUGUUUUGAUCUGUGGGUUCUAAAGAUGUCUCCGGGGAAAAUUAGAGCUGAAAAUAGAAAAUAUGACAAAUUUCUAGUGGGUCUGCGUGUUCUUGCUGCUGAUGAUGACCCAACUUUUUUGAAGCUAUUGGAGACUCUGCUUAGAAAAUGCCAGUAUCAUGGUAUGGAUCUCUAAUGGUUUGCGUUUAAUUGAUUUUGCCCCCACUUUUGAUGUUGCAAUUCGGUUUAGUUUUAAGGUUCUUUCUUUCAAAUGUAAUUGUUGGGAUUUCUCUAGUUUAUCUUAGAUUUUGAAGUGGGGUUUGCUCAAUUAUACAUCAAAAUUUUGAACCUAAUAUUUUAAAUUGUGCAUUCAUUGUUCUGGAUCAUCCUAAUUCUAAAUAUUGGUUCUAGGACCAUCCUAUUUCUAUGCUUUGUAGAUUAAGAAAAUACAGAAAAUAAUUUACAAAUAGAAAACAUUGAGGAAAUAUUACAUGUUGAUCAUAUUACAACUCAUUUAGUUAAUCAUUGGUUUGAAAUUAGGAAAAUGAUAGUCUGCCAGCAUCAUUUGCAUAGAUCCUGACCAGAUUAUCUCUCAAACAAGGGGGCCUACACCGAUUUUUUAAGGACAAAAAAAUGUCCACCCUCUCUUAAUCUGGCCAGGGUCUGUGCAAAUGACUCUGGCAGACUAGCAUAAUCUUUGAAAUUGUCAAUGGCUUGAAUUAACAUAGCUUUCCAUCAUAUAUUUCACUCUAGACAGUAAAAUAAAUUGUUGCCUGGAUAUUGAGUUAAAAUAUUGUAUGCUUGUUGUCUAGAUAUUUAUCAUAUGCUUUUAUAAUUUUCACAAAUUUUUUGUAAAUUUGAUUGUGCCCCACUAACUCAAAAAGUUUGUGUCCGCCACUGGAUGGAAGUAUUGAAAGAUACAGAGCUAAGCUCGUUGCACAGGGGUACACACAAUAAGAAGGUCUGGAUUAUCAUGAAACAUUUUUUCCUGUGGCAAAACAGGUUAUUGUUCGAAAUUUACUUGCUCUUGUACCAAUUGGAUGUUAAUAAUGUCUUUUUACAUGGUGAUUUGGAUGAGAAAGUGUAUAUGCAAUUACCCCAAUUAUGUUGUUGAUGGGAGUCCAAAAGUGUGCAAACUUCGCAAGAGUCUAUAUGGACUUUAGCAAGCCUCACGACAGUGGUAUUCAAAGUUGUCUGGUUUUAUCAUUCAGCAUGGUUUCAUUCAAUCAUAGGUGGAUUAUAGCUUUUUCACUAAGACCGCUUAAGACUCAUUCACAACUAUUCUAUGGUAUGUUGAUGAUGUUAUCUUAGCGGAAACUGUAUGGAUACUAUCAAUAACCUCAAAGCUGGCCAUAUACAAUGUUCAAAAUCAAGGACCUAGGAAAGUUGAAGUACAUUCUGGGAAUUAACGUGGAAAGAUCAGAACAUGAGAUAUACAUACGUAAGAUAAAUAUGCCCUAGACAUCUUAGGAGACUCAGGCACCAUAGGCUCAGCACCAUUAAAGAUACCUCUUGAUCAAAAUGUUAAAUUAGCAAGAGACGAAGGGGAUUUACUUACUGAUCCUUUUAUCCAUAGGAGGCUAAUAGGAUGACUACUAUACCUGACUAUAACAAGACCAUAUCUAUCCAACUCAAUUCAGUUAUUGAGUCAAUAUAUGGAAAAGUCCAGAGUGCCACAUCUCCGCGCAGCACAUAAAGGCUGGUCUUACUCUUCUACUUAUGAUCUCCAGAAGGGUAAUUCAGAUUCAAAUUGGGGAGCUUGUCUGGAUAUUAGGAGAUCUGUGACAGGUUAUUGUAUUUUCAUAGGUUCAUCACUAGUGUCAUGGAAGUCAAAGAAGUAAAAUGUAGUUUCAAGAUUAUUGUCUGAAGCUGAAUGCAGAGCAUUGGCUCAAGUCUGUUGUAAACUUACAUGGAUGAGAUAUUUGCUUGAAGCUUUACAGAUUGAACAAAGCUAGGCAGAAAGGUUAUACUAUGAUAACAAAUCUGCAAUCUACAUUGUCACAAAUCCCAUUUUUCACGAAAGAAUCAAACAUAUAGAAAUUGAUUAUCAUCUUGUUAGAGACAAAAAUACAAAAUGGAAGCAUCAACACUCACUAUGUUCACAUUGGUUUUCAAUUGACAGAUAUGUUAACCAGAGCUUUGAACUCUUCAAGUUUUACUCACACAUGAACAAGAUGUGAGUAGUUGAUAUGUACUCUCAAUCUUUCGGGGAGCUGUUAAAUGCCGAAGAGCAACCUGAUCAGCUGGCAAGUGAACCGUCAACACAGUCAUUAGCUUAAUUUAUAUCAGCAUCCAAUGUUGAUCCAACAUGGAAAGAAGAAUCUAAAAGCAAAGGAGUCUAGAAGCAUUGCCUUACCAGCAUUCUGUUGUAACAUACAUAUUCUUUAUUUUCUUUUUACACAAGCAUUGUAAAGCUAUAUAAGUUGUAUAAACCUUACACAUAUUUAAUAUUGAAGAUAGACGAAAAUCACACUGUAAGCUUUUUUGCUAUUUGCUUCUUUCUUAUACUUUUCUCCCAUGCUUGUUCUUUUUAAUUUGAGUCUUUUUCGUUCCCUUGUUUGUGAAAUUUUGCAAUGCGAGAUCAUUGAUACUAUUCGAAAAAGUGAUACA